rnacentral:rRNA from 1 species
GAUGAACGCUGGCGGCGUGCCUAAUACAUGCAAGUCGAGCGAACAGAUGAGGAGCUUGCUCCUCUGACGUUAGAGGCGGACGGGUGAGUCACACGUGGAUAACCCACCUAUAAGACUGGGAUGAUAUCGGGAAACAGGAGCUAAUACCGGAUAAUAUAUUGAACGAAAUGGAUCAAUAGUGAAAGACGGUUUUGCUGUCACUUAUAGAUGUAUACGGGUCGCAUUAGCUAGUUGGUAAGGUAACUGCUUACCAAGGCAACGAUGCGUAGCCGACCUGAGAGGAUGAGUGGCCACACUGGAACUGAGACACGGCCCAGACUGCUACGGGAGGCAGCAGUAGGGAAUCUUCAGCAAGGGGCGAAAGCUUGACGGAGCAACGCCGCGUGAGUGAUGAAGGUCUUCGGAGCGUAAAACUCUGUUAUUAGGGAAGAACAAAUGUGUAAGUAACUAUGCACGUAUUGACGGUACCUAAUCAGAAAGCCACGGCUAACUACGUG